AUUUGACGUUAGCGACAGAAGAAGCACCGGCUAACUCCGUGCCAGCAGCCGCGGUAAUACGGAGGGUGCGAGCGUUAAUCGGAAUUACUGGGCGUAAAGCGCAUGCAGGUGGUUUGUUAAGUCAGAUGUGAAAGCCCGGGGCUCAACCUCGGAAUUGCAUUUGAAACUGGCAGACUAGAGUACUGUAGAGGGGGGUAGAAUUUCAGGUGUAGCGGUGAAAUGCGUAGAGAUCUGAAGGAAUACCGGUGGCGAAGGCGGCCCCCUGGACAGAUACUGACACUCAGAUGCGAAAGCGUGGGGAGCAAACAGGAUUAGAUACCCUGGUAGUCCACGCCGUAAACGAUGUCUACUUGGAGGUUGUGGCCUUGAGCCGUGGCUUUCGGAGCUAACGCGUUAAGUAGACCGCCUGGGGAGUACGGUCGCAAGAUUAAAACUCAAAUGAAUUGACGGGGGCCCGCACAAGCGGUGGAGCAUGUGGUUUAAUUCGAUGCAACGCGAAGAACCUUACCUACUCUUGACAUCCAGAGAACUUUCCAGAGAUGGAUUGGUGCCUUCGGGAACUCUGAGACAGGUGCUGCAUGGCUGUCGUCAGC
rnacentral:rRNA from 1 species